GUGGUGAUAUUAUGUGUCUUGUUAGUUUCAAUUUUAAUUUUAAGCCACAUAUUUCAAGAAUAUGUCAAGAAUAUUGACUUUGUGCUGGCCAUUCUAUAACCUGAAGCGAUUUUGUUUCAUGUAAUGUUUUACACAAAUUUGGCUCUAUGGAUCAGGGCAUUGUCAUCUUGAUAUAGGUUAUUGUCACCAAGGAAAUGGUAAGCAAUAAC
rnacentral:lncRNA from 1 species